rnacentral:lncRNA from 1 species
CAACCCUGCAGGUUGGCUCCGGGUGGGGCUCUGCCCAGAAGGGCUGGCGACGCUGCAGGAUGGGGCUGGAAGGGCUCCCUCCUCCACCUUCGGCUCCUGGUGCCUUUAUCCAGGGCUCCAUUACCCAAGCAGCUGAGGCCGCGGGCAGCAUCUCUGGCACUUGAAGAACCAGAGUCCCUCCAGCGAGCAGAGCAUCCGUAGAGCAGAGCCCACUCCUCUCAGCUUCUGCGGCAUCAUAAUCGGACCUUUCCCAUCUCCUCCACCCCAGCAGAGGUGGCAGCUGCUUCCUGAAGUGGUCACCUCUGUGACACCUUAGAGUCCUUUUCUACCCUAUUACCUAGUUGAUAGCUCUGCACCUGCUCAUCUCUGGGUUAAAUUCUCUGGUCAAAUCUGUACUAUGAUUUCCGGCUCCUGACCCCACCUGACUUGGUGGCGUCACUGGGAAGACACAGCCCAAGGCGGGGAGGGUCCUGCCACCCCCCACGCUUCCCCACUCCUGAGGGGACUAUUGUAGCAGCGCUGCUUCUCCUGCGCCUCCAGGAUGAGGGCAGAUAAAAGCCACUGUCUACCAUCACACUGAGCUCUGGCCACACACACUCGGGGGAGCUGACACUGGUGAGCAGCACUGGAGCCGGUGGGCACCCAGCCUUGCCUGGGGCCCCUUUCAAAGCAGGAGGGCUCGUCACACCUCCUCCCAACAUCGUGGGACCAGGGGAAGAGCACUCAAGGGUGACGGUGGGGGCGGAGAGUCUAUUCUGUUAGAGGAAAAUCCCAAGGAAAAUUUCCAAAACCUCAAGAGCCUCAAUCCAAAGAGAACACGUGAAGUUGAGAGCAGAAUGUCACUCCUUUUGACCGUCUCUCCAAAACCUGACUUGGCAGCAAGCCCAGGAAUAUCCAAUGUGGUUCCUAAAAAGCACAGGGAGAGCACACAAUUCCUUUUGUUCUUAAAAAAACUUGCUUUUUCCAGAUUCUGAGUUCCAUAAACUUCAAGCUACUUUAUUACAGUACACUUUUGAAAUGUUAUAACCCCAAAUUUCCCUUCUAUAAAUAUAUUUUUUGAACUAGUAACACUUUACUUUGGCUGCUUUUUUUGAAGCACAAGAGGAAUCAGUGACUAGGAAGAGCUAUCAUUUUCUGAGCUACGAACAAGCCAGGCACACUAGUUCCCUUAACUUUAAUCUAUAUUCACAUUAAUGCCUGUUGGUUUGAAUUCCGUAGGAAGGCAUGUGACAGAAACUCCGAAGUCACACACUGUGUUACACAAGGUAGAAGUUUGUUUCCCCGUCACAGAGUGAAUCCAGGGCUAGGAUGGCAGCUCCACAUCCAGUAGGGACAUGGGACUCCACCUGGUUUGUUGCUCGGCUGGCUUCGACAUGUGGCUUGUACCUCACGACCCAAGAUGUUGUUCAAGUUCCAGCCAUCUCAUCUGCAUUCCAGCAUGCAGGGAAGGGCUUGCUCAUGACUGGUAGGGCCACUGAGAAGUUAGACGCAUUGCUUCCACUGACAUCUCAUUGCCCGGAAUCAGUCACAAAGUCACACCAAGCUGCAUGGGGGGUUGGACAAUGCAGCCUUUGUUCCGGUAGCCGUGUCCUCCAAUCUACGCACGGGAAGAGCAGCUACUGGGAGGUGAUGAGCAGUCUCUGUGCCACACUGUGACCUGUCACCUCUGGUCCCGGAGAGGUGCCCUUCCUAACUUUACCCGCAUUAACAGGCUUAUUGAGAUACAAUUCACAUACCAUCUAAUUCAUCUGCUUAACAUGUACAGUUCAAUGUUUUUUAGUAUAUUGAGUUGUACAAAUUUUGGGUCAUUUUCAUUCUGCCCCCCAGAAGUAAACUCUGUACCGAUCAGCAGUCACCUGUCAUUUCUCUUGACUUCCUGCACCAGCCCUAGGCAGCCACAGAUGCACUUUCUGUUUCUGUGGAUCUAUCUAUUCUGGAUGUUUCAUGCAAAUGAAACCAGAAAAUGUGUCAUCUUCUGUGACUGGCUUCUUUCACUUAGCAUGUUUUCAGGGUUCAUCCACAUUGUAGUACGGAUCAAUUCCUUUUUAUGGCCAAUAUUCCCCUGAAUGGAUAUACGUUUUAUUUAUCCAUUAAUCAGUUAAUUGACACCUGAACUGUUUCUGCUUUCUGGCUACUGUGAAUAAUGCAGCUAUGAAUGUUCAUGGACAAGCUUCUCUGUGGACACUCUCGUUUCUCUCGGGUACAGCCCUAGGAAUGGAACUGCUGGAUCACAUGGUAACUCUACGGAGAACCUACUGAGGAACUGUCAAGCUGUAUUAUCCCAAGUGGCUAUGCCGUUUGUUUUCCCAGCAACAAUGUACACAGAUUCUGAUUUCUCCACGUCCUCAACACUUGCUACCAUGUGACUUAGAUGACAGCCUUCCUCAUGGGUGUGAAGUGGUAUCUCACUGAGGUUUUGACUUGCACUUCCCUAAUGACCAAUGAGGUUGAGCAUCUUUUUUUUUUUUUGCUUUUUUUGCUUUUUAGGGUUGCACCCGUGGCAUAUGGAGGAUCCCAGGCUGGGGUCUAAUUGGGGCUGCAGCCGCCGGCCUAUGCCAGAGCCACAGCAAUGCAGGAUCCGAGCCACAUCUGAGACCUACACCACAGCUCACAUCAAUGCCGGAUCCUUAACCCACUGAGCGAGGCCAAAGGUUGAACCUGCAAGUUCAUGGUUCCUAGUCCAUACUCCAGGAUGUCGAGCAUCUUUUCCUGUGUUUAUAGCCAUCUGCAUACCUUCUUUGGAAAAAGAAGUCUAUUCAAAUUUUUUGCCCACUUUUAAACUGGUUGUCUUUUUCUUGUUGAGUAAGUGUAUCUUCAUUUCUCCAUCCAGGAGUGGAACUGCUGGACCACAUGAAAGCCCUUUAUGCCUUUAAUUCUUUGAAAAGCUGCCAGACUGUUUUCAAAGGCAGCUGCACCAUUUUACAUUCCCCCCCUGCAGCGUAUCUGGUUCCAGUUUCCCCACACUCUCACUCUGUGUUAUCUCUUAUCUGUCCUCUUGCUUGUAGCCCCUUCAGGAGGAUGCAGUUGUAUCUCAAUGAGGAUCUAAGCUGUAUGUCUCUGACUGCUAACGAGGUUGACCAUCUUUUUAGGUACUCAUUGGCCACUCGGGGAGCUUCUUUGAAAAAACUCUAUUCAGAUCCUUCCUUUGCCUAUCCCUUAGGUUGUGAAAUUUAUUUUGCUUUUCGAUAGUUCUGUGCCAACAGAUUAAGCUGUGCAUCUAAGCUGGGAUUUUUCCUAGAGAACACUAGUCUUUAUCAUAGGGAAUUCAUCAAGGCUUUCAAAGAGUUAGCAUCUACUCAGAAGUCACGUCAUAUGGUAUAAAUGCAGAUUUGAUUCAGCACAGACUCCCUAAGAAGAAAUUUUAUUGAAAUUUUGCUUUCAAAUUUUGAAGCAAAUCCACAAUGGGACAACAUGGGACUUGAAAGUAGCUUAGUUUUUAGCUGAGUGCUAAGGCAUUACCUAGGUGAAGUGCGAUAACAUUAAUUGUAAGCGACAAAGUACAAAGUUUUACAUUGAUUAUUUAGACUCAUGUUUAAAAAUACAUAAGCAAGUGAUCGCUGUAGUUAAUGACAUUAACAUAAAAUUGAAUAUGAUUCAACUUUCAGUAAUGAUGGGAUAAUUAAAAUUAUACUUUUAGCUAAAAAUAAUGCUUUUAAUUCUUCAUAGCUCUUUCCAUAAGCAAUAUUGAACAAAACAAGCAGGUUAAAAGCAUAACCUACAAAACAUCCUUAUUUUACAUGAAAUGUGAAAACCCCCAAAUCCACAGUGAAAUAAAUACGCAGAACUGUGGGGCUCUACAACAUUUCAUUAGUGAAGAUCCUCAGGCAGGGUAGGGCCAGGAAAGAAGAUGACGACAUGGAAAGAUGCUGGCCUGGAUGUCUGCAGACAAAGGUCUAUCACAGAGAGUCAAUUACUUCACCUCUUCGGACCUCAGUUUCCAAAUCCAUAAAAUGAAAAGAUGUAGCUGGAUGGACAUCUGAGGCCCAUCUCUACACGUCCUAUUAAUCUACAGUGACCAAAGGGCAUGGCUGGUGGAUUGGAUGGCAUUUUCUAAGGAAAAGUAAGUCCAAUGAGGCAAGAUCGUUCCAAAUCGGGGAGUCAGAUCCACUUUAGAAUAAGAAAAACUGUCCAUACAAACAGUCUAAUCCCCUAAUGGUUUGUUCAAUUGUCCGGCUGUGUGUGUGUGUGUGCAUGCACACACGUGCACACGCACAUGCACACACACAAAGCUAGCACUUUCCAAGUUUUGAUGCUAUUUCACAAAACGGUUGUCCCAAAUACUUGGAAAACAACAGGUUCAGCAAAGUUGUGGCAGACCCUUUUAGCUGCUUAACCAAAACCCAUUCUCUCUACUUUUUUUCUCCAUUUAACAUCAUUUUAGUUUGAUUUGAGGCGGCAGGAUGUCUGGACUGUGGACUGUGACCAGCCUAGGUUUAUCAUUGUAGUCCUGCUCUCUGCUCCCUCAGUCUCCCUGCAGCUACGGGUGGCAGGGGGCCAAAUCGCUUUAUGGCCAUGGAAGUCUCUUCUUCCAGAAGUACCUCCAGGGAUUACUUUUCCGGGGCCUAUGUUUUGGGAUUAUUGACACAGACUAACUUAAUUACAUAGUGGACAGAAGAAUAUACUCCCUGGCCAAUCCUGCCAGAAUGUUACUCAUCUUUUAGGCGUUUCUCCCAUAUAACAUUUAUUCCAGUUUCUCUCAAUAAAUAAAAAUCUGUAAUUCAUUCACAUACUGAAACUUACCUUGGCCCCAUUUUUGGAAAGGAUUGAAAAUGAAGGGGAAAAAAAUCUGUUGGCUAAGGAGGAACAUGUCUACUAAGUUUCUUGUCUAGCACAAGGCUACAGAACUCAGGAAUUCGUAUUUUCUGAGUACACAAAACAUAACACGCAUGUGAAUCAACCUUUUAGACGUAGCUGUCCUGUCAAACUAAAAAAAAAAAAAAAAAAA